UCAGGUGUAUUCACAUGCAUAAAUGCCACAUGGCCUGGAAGUACGCAUGAUGCUCAUGUAUUGAGAACCUCGGCACUCUCUGAUUAUUUGGAGGCCCAACAUCAUGGUUUGGAAGAUGGAAUUGUGUUGGGGGACAGUGCCUACCCAGGAAGGAAGUUGCUCAUGACGCCUUACCUGCAUCCUGGAUCCCCACAGCAACAAAUGUAUAACGACGCCCAUGCGAAGACGAGAAAUGUGAUUGAAAGAGCAUUUGGUGUACUGAAGCGGAUGUUUCAUGUUCUCCAUGGAGAGGUACGAAUGAAGUCAGCCAAAGUAUCUAAAAUAAUUGUGGCAUGUGUAGUAUUGCACAUUUUGGCAAAGGCCGGUGUGUGAGACGGAGGCAUUCCCAGAGGAGGAAGACCCUCAACCUCCACCAAUUGCACAGCUUGAGGGCAGCCCUGACGGGCAGGCUAUCAGGGGUGCAAUAACUGCAAACUA